UGCCUUAGUAACGGCGAGUGAAGCGGCAACAGCUCAAAUUUGAAAUCUGGCCCUUGGGUCCGAAUUGUAAUUUGUAGAGGAUGAUUUUGGUGCGGUAUCUUCCGAGUUCCUUGGAACAGGACGCCUUAGAGGGUGAGAGCCCCGUACGGUUGAAUGCCUAGCCUCUGUAAAUCUCCUUCGACGAGUCGAGUAGUUUGGGAAUGCUGCUCUAAAUGGGAGGUAAAUUUCUUCUAAAGCUAAAUAUUGGCCAGAGACCGAUAGCGCACAAGUAGAGUGAUCGAAAGAUGAAAAGCACUUUGAAAAGAGGGUUAAAUAGCACGUGAAAUUGUUGAAAGGGAAGGAUUUGUGACCAGACUUUUUCUGGGCGGAUCAUCCGGGGUUCUCUCCGGUGCACUUCGCCCAGUAAAGGCCAGCAUCGGUUUUCGGCGUGGGAUAAAAGCAGUAGGAAUGUGGCUCUCUACGGGGAGUGUUAUAGCCUAUUGUAUAAUACCGCGCUGGGGACCGAGGUUCGCGCUUCUGCAAGGAUGCUGGCGUAAUGGUUAUCAAUCACCCGUCUUGAAACACGGACCAAGGAGUCGAACAUUUGUGCAAGUGUUUGGGUGUUAAACCCUCACGCGUAAUGAAAGUGAACGGAGGUGAGAGCCCUUACGGGUGCAUCAUCGACCGAUCCUGAAGUUUUCGGAUGGAUUUGAGUAAGAGCAUAACUGUUCGGACCCGAAAGAUGGUGAACUAUGCGUGGAUAGGGUGAAGCCAGAGGAAACUCUGGUGGAGGCUCGCAGCGGUUCUGACGUGCAAAUCGAUCGUCAAAU
rnacentral:rRNA from 1 species